AUACUUACCUGGACGGGGUCAAUGAGUGAUCAGGAAGACUCAUGGCCUAGAGUAGUGACCUGCAUUGCACUUGGUAGGGGUGCUACUUUAAGGUCUCCCCAAGAGGGAGAACCUACGUCAUAAUUUGUGGCAGUGGGGGCUUGCGUUCGCGCAGCCCCUAU
rfam:Gossypium arboreum cultivar AKA8401 contig_125474_1, whole genome shotgun sequence.